rnacentral:rRNA from 1 species
AACGAACGCUGGCGGCAGGCCUAACACAUGCAAGUCGAACGCUGUAGCAAUACAGAGUGGCAGACGGGUGAGUAACGCGUGGGAACGUGCCUUUCGGUUCGGAAUAACUCAGGGAAACUUGAGCUAAUACCGGAUACGCCCUUCGGGGGAAAGAUUUAUUGCCGAAAGAUCGGCCCGCGUCCGAUUAGCUAGUUGGUGUGGUAAUGGCGCACCAAGGCGACGAUCGGUAGCUGGUCUGAGAGGAUGAUCGGCCACACUGGGACUGAGACACGGCCCAGACUCCUACGGGAGGCAGCAGUGGGGAAUAUUGGACAAUGGGCGCAAGCCUGAUCCAGCCAUGCCGCGUGAGUGAUGAAGGCCCUAGGGUUGUAAAGCUCUUUCGCCAGGGACGAUAAUGACGGUACCUGGAUAAGAAGCCCCGGCUAACUUCGUGCCAGCAGCCGCAGUAAGAC